GUUCAGUCAUGAAGCUCAGGGAUGGACGCUGUGGAUAACUUUACCGCAUGCAAGUCGAACGGCAGCACGGACUUCGCGAUCACAGUUUGCUGCGGUGGCGGGCAGGAACGAUAAUGUCGGACGCUGAUGGCAGGGGGAUAACUCACGCGAAAGCGUAACAAUACCGCCUGUACGCCCUUCGGGGAAAGCGGGGGACCUUCGGGCCUCGCACUAAUGAAGCAGCCGAUAUCGGAUUAGCUGGUUGGUGGGGUAACGGCUCGCAAGGCGACGAUCCGUAGCUGGUUUGAGAGGACGACCAGCCACACUGGGACUGAGACACGGCCCAGACUCCUACGGGAGGCAGCAGUGAAAUUUUGGACAAUGCGGGGAAACCUGAUCCAGCCAUCCCGCGUGUGCGUGAAGGCCUUCGGGUUGUAAAGCACUGGCGGGAAGAGCUGUUUUGCGGGAUAUUCUCUUUGCAUUUUGGCGACGUGCCCCUGCGAUGCUUUGGCUUUAUACGUGCCAGCAGCCGCGGUAAUACGUAAGUGCAAGCGUUAAUCGGAAUUACUGGGCGUAAAACGUGCGCAGGCGGUUCCGGAAAGAAGAUGUGAAAUCCCAGAGCUUAACUUUGGAACUGCAUUUUAACUACGCAAAAAUGGGGUGUGCCAGGAGUGCGAAUUCAGCGUAUUGGCGGUGAAAUGCGUAGAUAUGCGGAGGAACACCGAUAGCGAGCAGCCUCCUGGGAUAACACUGACGCUCAUGCAUGCACGAAAAGCGUGGGAGCAAACGGAUCCGAUACCCUGGUAGUCACCGCCUAAACGAUGUCAACUAGCUGUUGGGGCCUUCGGGCCUUGGUAGCGCAACUAACGCGUGAAGUUGACCGCCUGGGGAGUACAGGUCGCAAGAUUAAAACUCAAAAUUGACGGGGACCCGAAGCGGUGGAUGAUGUGGUUAAUUCGAUGCAACGCGAAAAACCACCCUUAGCAUGUCUGGAAUCCAGAAGAGAUUUGGGAGUGCUCGCAAAGAGAACCGGAACACAGGUGCUGCAUGGCUGUCGUCAGCUCGUGUCGUGAGAUGUUGGAGUUAAGUCCCGCAACGAGCGCAACCCCUUGUCAUUAGUUGCCACGAGGGCACUCCAGCAGUUUUGCGGAACGACCCAAGCUGGAGGAGGGUGGGAUGACGUCGAGUCCUCCAUGACACCGGAAUUUGGGCUGCGCAUCGCCACGGCCGGUCAGGACAGAGGGUCGCCAACCGCGAGGGGAGCCAGUCCCGAAGCUACAGUCGUGGUCUCGGGAUCGUUCACUGGCUCGACUGCGUGAAGUCGGGAAUCGCUAAGUAAUCGCGGAUCAGCAUGUCGCGGUAGAAUACGUUCCGGGUCUUGUACACACCGCCCGUCACACCAUGGGAAUUGGGUUUUACCAGAAGUAGUUAGCCUAACCGUAAGGAGAGGGCGAUUACCGCAGUAGGAUUCAUGACUGGGGUGAAGUCGUAACAAAGAUGACUU
rnacentral:rRNA from 1 species